rnacentral:rRNA from 1 species
GACGAACGCUGGCGGCGUGCUUAACACAUGCAAGUCGAGCGGUAAGGCCUUUCGGGGUACACGAGCUGCGAACGGGUGAGUAACACGUGGGUGAUCUGCCCUGCACUUCGGGAUAAGCCUGGGAAACUGGGUCUAAUACCGGAUAUGACCUCCUAUCGCAUGGUGGGUGGUGGAAAGAUUUAUCGGUGCAGGAUGGGCCCGCGGCCUAUCAGCUUGUUGGUGGGGUAAUGGCCUACCAAGGCGACGACGGGUAGCCGACCUGAGAGGGUGACCGGCCACACUGGGACUGAGACACGGCCCAGACUCAUACGGGAGGCAGCAGUGGGGAAUAGUGCACAAUGGGCGAAAGCCUGAUGCAGCGACGCCGCGUGAGGGAUGACGGCCUUCGGGUUGUAAACCGCUUUCAGCAGGGACGAAGCGCAAGUGACGGUACCUGCAGAAGAAGCACCGGCUAACUACGUG